rnacentral:sRNA from 1 species
AUUAAGCGGAGGAAAAGAAACUAACUAGGAUUCCCUCAGUAACGGCGAGUGAAGCGGGACUAGCUCAGGAUGUGAAUCUGCGCUGUAUGGCGCCGAAUUGUGGUCUAUAGACUUUGACGUUAUCUGCCGGGCCAAGUUCCUUGGAAAAGGACAGCUGAGAGGGUGAGACUCCCGUCCGCCUGGUAGAGUGAGUCGUUGUCAACGAGUCGAGUUGUUUGGGAUUGCAGCUCUAAUUUGGUGGUAAAUUCCAUCUAAAGCUAAAUAUUGGUGGGAGACCGAUAGCGUACAAGUACCGUGAGGGAAAGAUGCAAAGAACUUUGAAAAGAGAGUUAAAGAGUACCUGAAAUUGCUGAAACGGAAGCGAAGGAAACCAGUGUUUGUUGGUUCAUAUUUCCCUGGCCACUUGUGGUUUGGGCGCUGUGAGCUUGCGUGGGUUUGCUUUGGUUGAUCCCUUUGGAAGAGCGCAGUCAGAGUUGAUGUCUGUUGCUAGCACUGGGUUUGACUAAUGCAGACGAAAUGGU